rnacentral:lncRNA from 1 species
AAGGUGGAAAGUACAGUAAGUAGUUAAAAACAGCCUUUUAAUAUCAGACCUUUGAUAUAGGGGUUACAAAGAGAGACGGUCACCAACUAUACAAUGAAGAGACAGCCACAAAUAUUUUCAGUAAGAUCAUUUAUAUACACAUAUGGCUUCAACCAACAUUUGCAAAAAUUGAACUUGUUGCAUUUUUUUGUUGUAAAUAUGGCACAAAUAGAAUAGUGUCAGGCACUUGCCCCUCAAGGAGAGGUUCCAAGAAAGCACUGUGGUCUAGCUAGCUGGUCUGGGUUGUCAUUUAAAGAUAUGACUACUAAUGUCUAAAGACCUGGGGCUGGAUUUCUACUAAGCUAACACAUGGAAUUAUUUUAAGAUGGUCAUACCAACAAUAAUUUAGCUAUUUGAUUUGGAAAUGUAGGACCCCUGCAAGAAUAAUUAUUUUUUAAAUGUUUUAAUAUUUGAUUAAACAUUGAAUUUGGCCUUCCUGCUAUUAGCCCAUAUAAAUGCAUUGAAUAACAUAUUCAUGCAUGGCAAAACAGAUUAUUCCAAAAUAAAUCAGAAGGAAGCAUAUUUUGAAGUGUCUGUCCUAUAUCUGAUAGCUAAAAGAAAGAUCAGCAAAUACAACUUUUUUGAAUGCCCAUAUUUAACCCCUUUUUUGGCACUAAAGUACUUUCAUACAGUGCAUUCGGAAAGUAUUCAGACCCCUUUCCUUUUUCUACAUUUUGUUAUGUUAAAGACUUAUUCUAAAAUUGAUUAAACUACAUUUUUUCCUCAUUAAUGUACACACAAUACCCAAUAAUGACAAAGCGAAAACAGCUUUUUAGAAAAUUUUGCAAAUGUUUAAAACAUAAAAAACAUUAAUACCUUAUUUAUAUAAGUAUUCAGACCAUUUGCUAUGAGACUCAUAGACACAUGCUUAGGCGCAUCCUGUUUCAAUUGAUCAUCCUUAAGAUGUUUCUACAACUUGAUUGGAGUCCACCUGGGGUAAAUUAAAUUGACUGGCCAUGAUUUGGAAAGGCACACACCUGUCUAUACAAGGUCCCACAGUUGACAGUGUAUGUCAGAGCAAAACCAAGCCAUGACAUUGAAGGAAUUGUCUGUAGAGCUCUGAUACAGCAGGAUUGUGUCGAGGCACAGAUCUGGGGAAGGGUACCGUGAAUCCGAUCAAACUUUUCUGGAGAGACCUGAAAAUAUUUCAGGUUUUUCUUUACAAUAAAUUAGCAAAAAUUUCAAAAAACUCGUUUUUGCUUCAUCAUUGUAAGGUAUUGUGUGUAGAUUGAUGAGGAAAAAAACAAUUUAAUACAUUUUUGAAAAAGGCUGUAACGUAACAAAAUGUGGCAAAAGUCAAGGGGUCUGAAUACUUUCCGAAUGCACUGUAUAUACUCACAGACAUUGUUUGUACCGGGCGAGUCUUGUGAGGCCAAAGCAUUCGGAUGCUAGACAUUUUUGUGAGAAUAACGAUUUUCUAGAUGUCUCCUGGUCUGACAAACACCGCUGUAGCUCCGCAUCUGUGGUGGAAGGCCGACAUAGAGGGAUACAGUGGAUUGAUAUGCAGCCUAUGCAAAAAAACACAUCUCAUCUUAGACAGACAGAUUUUGAUGGGGAUUUUGUUUUAUGCUAAUUAGAUUUCUGUGGGGGCUCGGACAUCGACUCUAGGGGGGUGGUUGGAUGUAUUUUUUUUAAAACUAAGGCUAAAUAAUUCCAGACAACAUUUACAUGGCAGAAUAAACAUUUACCAAUAACAUUAACAUGUAAUGAACACUUACCAGAAACAACUUCAAGUCAGAGUCAACACCAACUCAUCAACAGUGAUUUUAAGGUCAGAAUUAACAUUGAACAAUAACCAUUGACUUAAAAUAUUUUCCAUUGUCAAAAUAUGAUACAAAUCAUAUCAACUGUUAACAAUUCUACCUCGCUCCAAAUCAUAACUAACAAAACAGUAAAUUCUCUAUAUAACAAACAGCAACAGCUACCUUACAAUAUAUAUUCUGAAUAUAGAUCAUCUGUAAUGCAUAAACAAAUCGCAUUGAAUAAUUAUAUUAUACUUUCAUGGCAUUUCACACAUACUGUAUAUCAAAAUACAUUUUGCUUUCUGUACAUAAGUUAAGAAAUGUAACCGGCCCAAACACUUUUUUAUGUUUGAGGAUAAGCAUUUUUCUGUAAAAUCUUUUUAAUCAAAACAAAUUAUAUGAAACACUUGAGCAACUACAAAACUUUAGUAGUGCAACAUCUUAAAUGAAAAUUGGUCCUACUUGUAUUCAUUCAACUUUUGUGUAUUUUUUUUAUUUAACUAGGCAAGUCAGUUAGGAACAAAUUCUUUUUACAAUGACAGCCUAGGAACAGUGGGUUAACUUCCUUGCUCAGGGGCAGAACAACAGAUCUUUACCUUGUCAGCUCGGGGAUUCGAUCUGGCAACAUUUCGGUUACUAGCCCAACGCUCUAACCAGUAGGCUACCUUUUAACAUUUCUACUUUUAGUUAUUGUUUUUUAUAUAUACAAACAGCAGCUACGUAACAAUGUCUGUUACAAAAUCAAAAAACAGCACUUAAAUCAAAAUAGUAACAAAGUUUAUAUUUUAUACAAUAUAAUUGUCUCAGGGAUGAUGAUCUUAAAGCUGGCAUUUACUAAAGUGUUUGCAUCCCAAAUUGCACCCUAAUCCCUAUGGAAUUUAGCCCAAAAAAGUGCACUACAGUGCAUUCGGAAAGUACUCAGACCCUUUGACUUUUCCAACAUUUUGUUAUGUUACAACCUUAUUUUAAAAUUGAUUAAAUCGUUUUCCCCCCCUCAUCAAUCUACACACAAUACCCAAAAAUGAAAAAGCAAAAACAGGGGAAAAAAAUAAAUUAAAAUGUAAACAAAAAACAGAACAUGAAAUAUUACAUUUACAUAAGUGUUCAGACCCUUUACUCAGUACUUUGUUGAAGCACCUUUGGCAGCGAUUACAGCCUCGAGUCUUCUUGGGUAUGACGCUACAAGCUUGGCACACCUGUUUUUGGGGAGUUUCUAUCAUGGGCCACUCAAGGACAUUCAGAGACUUGUCCCGAAGCCACUCCUGCCUUGUUUUGGUUGAGUGUUUAGGGUCGUUGUCCUGUUGGAAGGUGAACCUUCAUUCCAGUCUGAGGUCCUGAGUACUCUGGAACAGGUUUUCAUCAAGAUUUCUCUGUACUUUGCUCCGUUCAUCUUUCCCUCGAUCCUGACUAGUCUCCCAGUCCCUGCCACUGAAAAACAUCCCCACAGCAUGAUGCUGCCAUAACCAUGCUUCACCAUAGGGAUUGUGCCAGGUUUCCUCCAGACAUGACGCUUGGGAUUCAGGCCAAAGAGUUCAAUCUUGGUUUCAUCAGAUCUUGUUUCUCAUGGUCAGAGUCCUUCAAGUGCCUUUUGGCAAACUCCAAGCGAGCUGUCAUGUACCUUUUACUGAGGAGCGGCUUCCGUCUGGCCACUACCAUAAAGGCCUGAUUGGUGGAAUGCUGCAGAGAUGGUUGUCCUUCUGGAAGGUUCUCCCAUCUCCACAGAGGAACUCUGGAGAUCUGUCAGAGUGACAAUUGGGUCUUGGUCACCUCCCUAACCAAGGCCCUUCUCCCCUGAUUGCUCAGUUUGGCUGGAGGGCCAGCUCUAGGAAGAGUCUUGGUGGUUCAAAACUUCUUCCAUUUAAGAAUGAUGGAGGACAAUGUGUUCUUGGCGACCUUCAAUGCUGCAGCCAUUUUUUGGUACCCUUCCCCAGAUCUGUGCCUCAACACAAUCCUGUCUCGGAGUUCUACGAACAAUUCCUUUCACCUCAUGGCUUGGUUUUUGCUCUGACAUGCCCUGCCAACUGUGGGACCUUAUAUAGACAGGUGUGUGCCUUUCCAAAUCAUGUCCAAUCAAUUUAAUUUACCCCAGGUGGACUCCAAUCAAGUUGUAGAAACAUCUCAAGGAUGAUCAAUUGAAACAGGAUGUGCCUAAGCUCAAUUUGCUAUGAGUCUAUGAGUCUCAUAGCAAAGGGUCUGAAUACGUAUGUAAAUAAGGUAUUCCUGUUUUAUUUUUAAUAAAUGUGCAACAUUUUCUAUAAACCUGUUUUCACUUUGUCAUUAUAGGGUAUUGUGUGUAGAUUGAUGAGUAGAAAACAUAUUUUAUACAUUUUAGAAUAAGGCUGUAACGUAACAAAAUGUGGAAAAAGGGAAAGGAUCUGAAUACUUUCCAAAUGCACUGUAUAUAGGAACUAGGGUACUGUUUGGGACGGAGUCACUCAUGAUAAGAUCUCUGUAGAUACUGCAUACCCUAUCUUAAACGUUUCAUUCAUUUUAAACAAUCAACAUAUUAAUGUAUUAUUAUUUACAGUGAGGUCACAUAUGUAUGCUGAAAGUUAGUAAUGGGUAUUAUUUUGAAAUGAGCAAAAAAUAAAUGGAAACAACAGAAAUUGAAAGAAUAAAUAUAUAACUCAGUACACACAUGGCUGGUAAGGUUUGUGAACAGUCUAUUCUAGCAUCAACAACUUAUCCAUACUGUGAAUUAAGAAAAAAAGUUAUGUAUCAUAUUUUCCAUACACAAUCCCUACGCACUGUGACAGAAAAAGGAAAUGCAAAAAAAAUAUAUAUAUAUCCCUUCAAGAUGUUGAGAGGUAAAAAGUCGAGGUGUGAGUGUGCAAUAACUCAUCUUGCAGGCCUGAUAUCGCUCCCGGGCCUGGAAUUUGAGACUGCUGAUUAAGGUUAUGUCCCAAAAGGCACCUAUAGGGUACCAUUUGGAAUGCAGACGUAGAAUCAUAACAGGUUACUCUGGGAAUUACUAUACAUUACAAUGCUAUGUCCACUAACAAAUAACAUCUAAGCCUUCACUUUCCCAAACUUAGAUUCUAAAUCAGGGAUGGGCAAUUUUGAUGGGGGUGGGGUCAAGAAAAACUUAUAAUGAGAGGCUGCAGAGGCUCGCGGGUCUGCGUACCCACAUCCAUUCCCACACAUACAGUCAGAGCUGGCCCUUGCCUUUUGGGGGCCCUAAGUUACAUUUUGCUGAAAUUCUACACAUUUUGCCAUGGGGCGGAGAGAAAUGUUUGUAGUUUUUAAUAUGAUCUCUGAGGGAGAGUGACUAACAAAAUCAAUGGGAGCUCCCCGGUCGGGAAUUCAACCAUGAUUACUACAAGUUUAGAUAGCU